UCCAAUGUUACACACUUUUAAGGCUAAAGAGAUACAAAUAAAUUUUUAGGAGUGUGUUCACAUGGCACAAGGUACUGUUAAAUGGUUUAACCCAGAAAAAGGUUUUGGUUUCAUCACAGCUGAAGAUGGGAAAGAUGUAUUCGUACAUUUCUCUGCUAUCCAAACUGAUGGAUUCAAAACUCUUGAAGAAGGUCAAGCAGUUGAAUUCGACGUUGAAGACGGACAACGCGGACCUCAAGCGGUUAACGUAACAAAAGCUUAAUUUUAAUUAAGUAGUAAAAAUGGACUGACCUCGGUUGGUCCAUUUUGC
rnacentral:other from 1 species